rnacentral:rRNA from 1 species
AUGGAGACCUCCCUACGGCUGCACGACGACGACAACACCUCCAGGCAGCAGCUGGGCAUCCGCAUCCACGCCAAGCAGAAGUUGCCCCUCGCAUACAACACGCUCCUCCAGGCUCACGCGGAGAUCGACACCGCCACCCGGAAGCCCAGCCUCCUCGCCCUCCUCGCAAGGCACUUCUUCCCACAGUUUAUAUUAGGAUGA